GGUCAAGCCCCAGGGCCACUCUACCCCAGGAGCUGCUGGUGCUCAGUGCAUCUUCGUAUAUGACGGUGCAGGUCAGAAGGGCAGCCAUGCUCCUCCUCUUCCAGCUGAUCAGCAUGUUCCAGGCCGGGUCGGGCCGAUUCUGGGAUAACUACAUGACGGAAACACUCCUCUAUGUGGAAGAUCACAAGACCUGCUCUUCUCUUCCAGAUCACAAGACCUGCUUCUGCCAGAAGGAGUGGGAGCAGCAGCUGC